rnacentral:rRNA from 1 species
UAGAGUUUGAUCCUGGCUCAGGACGAACGCUGGCGGCGUGCUUAACACAUGCAAGUCGAACGGUGAUGGUGGAGCUUGCUCCGCCGGAUCAGUGGCGAACGGGUGAGUAACACGUGGGCAACCUGCCCCUCACUUCGGGAUAACUCCGGGAAACCGGGGCUAAUACCGAAUACGACCUCCUUGGGCAUCCUUGGAGGUGGAAAGUUUUUCGGUGAGGGAUGGGCCCGCGGCCUAUCAGCUUGUUGGUGAGGUAACGGCUCACCAAGGCGACGACGGGUAGCCGGCCUGAGAGGGCGACCGGGCCACACUGGGACUGAGACACGGCCCAGACUCCUACGGGAGGCAGCAGUGGGGAAUAUUGGGCAAUGGAGGAAACUCUGACCCAGCGACGCCGCGUGCGGGAUAAACGGCCUUCGGGUUGUAAACCGCUUUCAGUAGGGAAGAAGCGAAAGUGACGGUACCCACAAAAGAAGCACCGGCUAACUAUGUGCCAGCAGCCGCGGUAAUAC